UGUUAGUUGAAAAGGAUCUAUGGCCAUUAGUUAGUGUCACCUUGUAAUUGAAUGGUUGCAGAAUCGGCUGGGUUAAGGGUUUUGUAGGUUCAAGGAUACGUGAUGUCGUAUGUUGAAUGUGUAUCAGUGGGAGAGCUACUGGUUAUUGGUUGUUUUUUUGUGCAUCUUAUCUUAUGACUGUCAAAAGAAGGUGCUGGUGUAUAUGGUAGAUCAGAUGGCAUUCGUAUAUGGUUUUCCUUUUCAUAGAGUUUGUAGGGUUGUGCUGAUUGAGAAGGUUCUCCAUGGCAAUCGAUUCGUCUCAGUUACUUGAAUUGGAUGAUUGUGUCUGAUCUCCUUUCUUCUACUUGCCUUAGUUACUGUACUUCAGAUUCAAUCAACAUUACGGAGGCUUUGGACAGAUAAUACUUUGGCUUGAUCUUUGCUGCUGGGCGCGACAUGGAUUUACAGAAGUGCACUUUCUUAUAAUCCCACUGAUAAAAGGAGAGCUUUGACAUACAUUGAUGGUGCUGGGAAAAUGCACAGAGUGAGCAAAGGUGCACCAGAUCAGAUUUUGAAUUUAGCUAAGAACAAUGCAAGAUUGAAAAAAGGGUACACAUGAUUAUUGGCAAAUUUGCUGAACGUGGACUUUGAUCUCUUGGAGUAGCUCGCUAGGUGAUCAACUGGCAAUUGCUAAGGAGACAGGUAGUCUUCCAGAAAUGGGUGUCAAUAUGUGCCCUUAUCUUUACUCGCCAAACAUAAAGAUUAGCUAAGUGCUUCUCUUCCCGUUGAUGAACUCAUUGAGAAAGCAGAUGGUUUUGCUGUUGUUUGUCCAGGUUUGAAAAUCAAUCAGUUGAAAGUCAAUGCUCAUUGGUGAUCAUUCCUGCCUAAUCUUUGGACUAAUGUGAAAGACCACAUUUUGGGUUUUGCUGGUUAUGGACUGCCGGGCAUAUAUUCCUUAAUCUCCUAUCAAGAGGAUAGUUGCAUCUGAUCUCAUUAAUACUUCUUUUACCAUGGUUGGUUACCUGAUCAUGAUAAUAUCUUCUUUGUAGGUAGUAAGGUGCCUUUUGACAUCAUUGCAUAUAUAUUAAGCAGUUUAUGACAAGCGACUCUUUACCAAGGGCUGGGGGAGUCCUUGCCUUAUUUCACAGAUUGUUGUUAACUCUGCCUGUGGUGUCUGGACUCGGCUAGUCUCAUGCUCAGAUGGAGCGAGGAGGGUCGAAAGAGGUAAAACACUACAAACUGCUGCUAGUGUAGUUGUUGGCACGCAUAUCGUUUGGGCAUCGCCUAAGUCAACUACAGCAAGGCAUCGUUGUGAUUAUAGGUAUUAGGUACCGUACCAAAUAGGAUGAUAUUUGUAGCCAGUGGCAAGUACGUUAAUAUAUGUUUCUCGUUGUUUGCUGGAUUAUCUGCUUGGAUAUGAUGUCAUGUUGGAUAUUUUAGUGUAAUUGGGGUUAACUUGUUUGAUCAGUAACGUCAUAAUAAUACAUCAUAUAGCAUUA